rnacentral:lncRNA from 1 species
GUGCCCGUACUGCUCCAACCUCAUCGUCAACUAUCUAGGCAAGCUCUUCGAUUCCGAUCUCCUUUCAAUCACCGAUUUCAAACUCGUCCCUUACGGCAACGCUAAAAUCAAACCUAACGGCACCAUCACUUGCCAGGUAUUUGUUCGUCCUCUUCAUUCAUUCAUUCAUUUUUUUAAAUUUUUUUUUAAUUUUCAUUAUUGCAGUCUCUAAUUCCUUGUUUGGUUUCUUAAUUUUUUUUUCUCUAAUUAUAUUAUUAAUCGAAAAUUUGGUCAACGGUUGUUUUCCGGCAUAAGGAAAUUUAGAUUCAUUCAGAUUAUAUUGUGAAGCUUAUUAACAAGCAUUUUCUGGAAAAUUAUAUAAUCUGACUGAAGAAACAUGUGAUUGUAUUAUUUUUAAGGAAUACGCGCAACUAAUUACGUCAUUUCUGAUUGCAGCACGGCGAAUGGGAGUGCAUACUGAACACUGUGGAGGCAUGUGCAAUUGAUGCCUGGCCCGAUUUGGUUAGUAUUGCUUUUUUUCGAUUUGGAAUUUGAAAUUAUGUUCGAUUUGAUCGUGAUGAAAAUUCGCUUAUUAAUCGGCGUCCUUAUUUAUUAUACUUGCCGUUCGUUGAGAAGAAUUUGGUUGUAGAAUAUUUGUUUCUCGUAGCUGAUGUUUUCAUUGAAGAAUAAUAUUGAUCCGUCAAACUCCUGAUGCAGAAUACUUAUUUCCCUUUUGUAUACUGUGUGGAAAGUCUUGUGUACGAGCACAAUUAUACCUAUUGGGAAACAUGUUUCGAUAAAUUGGGUUUGGAUCCCUCUCCUGUGGCUGCUUGUUAUAACAGUGAACGUGGAAAAGAGGUUAGUUUUUCUGACUAAUUGUUUAUGUUCGUUCCGUAGCUUUUACUGUGUGACGGAUAUGUUCUUUUUGCAAAUGUUAAGUUUCUUCGUUUUAUUUUAUAUGGUAUGAAGUACAUAAUACCGAUUAAUAAUUCAAUUGUACGAAAGCAGUUAACGCCGAGCAUUUUGAUUUCUAAAGGACUUUUUUCAGAUCUUGAAUUAGUUUUUUGAAGUAAACUCUCAUGGAUAUUCCGAAUUCCAUCUGCAGCUCUACAUAUUUAGGUUAUACUGGGAACUAUUUCACUAUGCUCUUAUCCAAGUCUGCUAUUUGCUUCGUUUUCCGAUAGUUCUAAACUACUGCAUGCAUCUAAUUUGAUAAGGUCAAAAUGAAUUCGGAAGUAGAAGAAAAUUGGCUUUUUAAACAAAAUUGUUUACUCCAUUUCUUCUUUUGUGGUUGAGAACUUCAAUUUAUAACUACUUAUGAAGUCACUUUUGAAAGUUUAAAGAAAAUAAUUCGAUAUUCCAAGAAGCUGCCACGACAGAAAAAGUCGGUAGAAAAAAGCUGCUAGGCUGAUUCCGGUUAAGCCUAUCUUUUUGAGGACUCCAUAUCUAAUACAAUCCUAUGUGUGUUUUGGUCGCGAGGAUUGUUAAUUAAUGACUUGAAAGACAAUAUAUAUUAACUAAUGACAAUGUUGCAACUUAUCUUUUUACUAUAUUCUAAUUUAUUUAGUAGGGGCCAGUUAUCGGCAGACAGCUAUUGACAAUGAAUUUGUUCAUUGAAGAAUUUUAAAAUUAAGAAAGUUAAACUUGAACGAAAGAACUCUAUUUCAUGUUUUUUUUUCUGGUCUGAAUAUGCAUUGACAUGUCGACAUGCGAGGAAUCCUAUUGUUCCUACAUGCUUGCUAUGCACACAUGUAUUUUCUUUUUCUUGAUUUGGCAAUUUGUAAAGUAACGUAAUGUGAUUAAUUAAAACGGUAAUGCAGCUUAUACUAGGAUACGCCGCUGACACGCAAGCACUCGAACCACCUCAUAAAUACGUACCGUGGGUAGUUGUAGACGGUGAACCACUUUAUGAUGUAAGUAUAUAUCGUCUCUCUCUCUCUUUCCCUUACAAAUACUAUGAAAGAGAAUAUCCUAAAAAGUGCAUCUUCGACCUGAAAUGUCUUAAUCUACUGUAGGAUUAUCGAAACUUCGUAAGCUAUAUCUGCAAGGCAUAUAAAGGAACUGCGAAGCCAUCUGCAUGCAGUAGUGAAUCAUCCGUUGGACAGAUUCGAAAGGUGAAAAUGAACUUGAUCAAUUCUCUCUUCGGAGAAGAAACAUCCAACUACUCGAAGCUGUUUCAAACAGUACAACAAGCUGUACUUUCAUGGCUGCCGGGAAACAAAGUAGCAGCUUCGUCUUAGUUCCUACAUUGCUCUUUCGCAAUCAAAGAGGUGGUCUCUUGUCCUUGUUUAAAGAUAUAUUUAUACACUCAAGUCAUGUGGUACACAAUUUGUAUGUAUUUUGUAACUUUGGUUAGGCUAAUUAUGCUCUAAAAUAAACUGCCAAGACAAGAGUGUGAUUAAGGUUUGUAUGUCUUGUAAUAUGCUUGUAUGCAAGCAAGGUGUAUACUUAUCAGCAAGUUCAUUGUCGCUCAAGAAUUUGAUACUAAAUUUUAUUUGAAAUUGGAAAUAAUAACAAAAUUAAGCAAAUAAAAUUAAAUACAUAUGAAAAUAUAAAAAUUGAAAAAGUAUGCAAUGCACAGGAUUUGCAAAAAGGAAGAAAAUUUAAAAGGAAGAAAAUUUAAAUAUAUGAAGUUUGAAUUAAGAUUUUUUUUUACUCUUAGUUGCUAUAUAUUUAAGCGUACUUCUAGGGUUUUACUUUUUAAUUUAUUAUAUAUAUAUAUAUAUAUAUAUAUAUAUAUAUAUAAGAUUCUAGGGUUUUACUUAAUUAUCUUCGUGCCAAAAGGAAAAAAACUAAAAUCAUGAAGCUUUUUCUGAAUCCUUUGGUGACUAGUUUGCUGGGUUGUGCGGUAGGCACUUGGAUUUGUUACACGUUACUCGACGAACAUAAGAAAAAGCCACUCGUUUCAGAAAGAGUAACGGAACACGUUCGAGCAAGAUCGACAGCGACUGAGGCCGAUGAUGAUGAUGGUGAGGGUUCGUGACCAAUCAAUAUGUGUUUUUGCAAUUUUACAUUUUCCUUAAAGUUAAUAUAAUGAUAAUUGUUUUGUUUGGUUUCAUUAGAAUUGAUUGUGGAAACAAGAGACGGUUCCCCUCUGCAUUUUAUAACCAAAAUUAAAUCUUACACCUUUUGUUUACUGCAUCCGGUUGAUAAAUUGGAAACUAGGGAAUUUGAAGCCGGAGAUCAUAAAUGGUAUGUUGCUAAUCAGUUAUAUCGAUUCUUUAUAGAGUUAACUUUUUAACUUAUGGUGUUCUAAUUUAUGACCGCUCACAGGAAACUCAUAAUUUAUCCUUAUGGCAAAGAAAGGAACAACAAAUAUGUUUCUGUAUACUUGGCCAUGACAAACACUAGUUCUUUGCCUAUUGAUUGGGAGUUCGAUGCCAUCUUCACUAUCUUUCUCCAUAAUCAGAUCUUGGACAAAUAUUUUUGUUGUCGAGUAAAGCGUCGUUUUAACGGAGCAAAGUGCAAAUGGGGAUUUCCAAAAUUCAUCUCUACAAAUGAACUAGUAGAUAGAUCAAAUGGAUAUCUUGUUGAUGACAAUCUGGUGCUUGGUGCUGAAGUUUUUGUCCUCAAAAGACAACGAGUCGUUGAGAAUGUGAAUGUGCUCCGACCGUCAAUAUUUGUACGCGAUUGGGAGAUUUCAGAAUUCUUAAAAUUGGAAAACGUUUGGACUUCUGAAGAAUUCAAUAUUUGGGGUUUCAAUUGGUAUAUUAUUACGGUUUCGCAGAUGCUACACCAGCUAGUGAAAUACACCGGGCGAUCUGGAACCAUUAAUCUACAUAUAACAACACACGCAUCUAUGUGUAUGUGUGCUUCGUGAAUGAUUAUUUAUAUAGAUUUAUGGAUCAAAACCACCCGGUGUGUUACACCAGCUGUAGCAUCUCAUCGACCUAUCACUACCUUUCCAUUUUGCUUUUCUUUUUCCCUAAUGGCCAAACUUGUCUUUAAUUUCUCAUUAUGGUUCAUACUUAUAUUUGUUAACUUAGGAAAAUAGAGCUAUAUCCAAAUGGGGGCGACUUGAGUUCAAAGGACAAUGCAGUGAAAAUACAUCUGGUGUGUGUUAGUGCUCAUACUUUUGCUACUCAUCAAAAAGUUAAGGCGGAAUUUUAUAUGCGCCUAUUAGACAGGUCUGAUGCAGUAAUACACGAUUCUGGAAAGCGUAAGUAGUAUGUUUAAGGUUUUUUCCGUAAUUUGCUAUGUUUUUUAAUAUGUUGAAAAUUUACGGAUUUUGAUCUUAAAAUUUUCGUAUUUGCAGUUUUUCAUUGGUUUACAUCUUCAAGUACAACUCGGGGCCCUUCAUUCAAAAGUCUUGCUGGCUGUUGCACCCUUUCUGUGGAUAUUUAUCUACAAGUUGCUGUGUAGACAAUGAUUAUUUAGUUCUUAUUCUUUACUUAUUUAAAAUAUUUAAAUUUGAACUUUAAUACUUGAAUACUAUUUUUAUUCUUUUCGUUAUUGUAGCUUUAAUUGUUUGUGUUUGAUUUCAUUUAAGUUGUUAGUUUGCAAAAUUAUCUUUGAAAAGUUGUCAACAUCAAUUAGAUUUCUGAAAAAGAACAAAAAAAAUUAAGAUGUAUGCAUUAGUUCAUCACAACUACAAAUUAGUACAAUUAAAUAUUGGUAACCUGUUUUAACUUUUAAUUAUAUAUAAAAAAAUAGUUAAUAUUAAUUAAUUGCAUGAAACACAAAUAUAACAUAACUACUUACGAAUGUGAUGUUUGGAUCGGGUGUGUUUCGUGAAUCAUGAUUUGUUUUUUAUUAUUAUUAAGGUUAAAUACAUAUUGCACCCUAAUCCUAUCACAUAUUUUUUUUUUUUAUUUCUUCCCUAAUUUUAUUUUCCACAAAGUAAACAUUUCACCCAAAUUAUUAGAAAAAAAGAUUAUCUUCUGAAGAUUAUUUAUAAUUUCCUUUUCAAUUUAUGAUUUUGGCAAUUUUUGUACCUAGCCUAAACAUUUCACCCAAAACUUAUGAAUUUCUUUAAGGGUGCAAAUUUAGACCGGAUGGUCUGUUUUAAUAGAAAAAUCGGAUGCAUAGAAUGAUUGACACGUGGAUAGUUUAAAUAAAAAUAUAAUUAGGAUUCUAAUAAUUGGAAAAAAAAGAAAAAGAAAAAAGAAAACCCCAGCAUAACCCGUAAGUCGUAACCCUCUAACCCUAAUUAUAAUAGCGUAAUUUAUCAAGAGUUAUGACUUAAGAGUGCCACGUGUCAAAAAAAUAGUGGCAUCCGAUUUAUAUUAAAUAUCGGUUGAUCCGCUCAAAAUUUAAUCUCUUUCUUCUGGAUAAUAUUUUAAAAAUAUUUUUAAUUUCUUAAAAUUUUAUAAUUUUAUUUUUAGCCAAAAUAAUCUCGAUUUAAAAUGCUUCAUGUAGUUCUAAUUCUCAAAAUUUACACAUUUUAUUUUUUACGUCCAAACACUACAUGACAUAUUUUUCUAGAACCACUUGUAGAUGCAACCGAGUGCUACAUAAUAGAGUAUAAAAAUUGCCCAAGUAAUGAAUUAAAAAAAUGCCUACUUAUAUCAUAUAAAUGUAAGGAUAAAAUGGUAACUACGCUACAUAAACUAACGGUGUUAGAGACUUGAGGGUUGACCAUUACUUGAAGUGCCACUUUGUCGCAUUUUAUAGUACAUGUGGGCCGGGUGCAAUUUGUAUUUAAUUUAACCCUUGUUAUUAUUGUCUUCUUUGUCAAUAAUCUGAAAUAAAUUAACGAGAUUUUAUAUAUGUUACGUCGGAUUGUGCUAAUUAAUUAAUAUCCAUGCAAGAAUUGUAUGUUUAAACAUAUGUUACGUCGGACUGUGCUAAUUACGUACGACUAGCGAAUCUUGUGGUUUUCUCAAGAUAAAAUGUUCCAUUGAGUGAGUCGGAUUGUACUAAUUACAUACUAUAGGAAGAAUAGAGUUGGAUAAAGAGAAAGAGAGUUGUAUAUUACUCAUAUAUAUAGUUACAUGUAGGAAACCCUAACCUACACAAAAUUACAUGCCAAAAUUACAAGAUAUAUCUAUAAUAAAUAAUAAUAAUAAUAAUAAUAAUAAUAAUAAUAAUAAUAAUAAUAAUUGUGAAUACGUACGACUAGAGAAUCUUGUGGUUUUCUCAAGAUAAAAUGUUCGAUUGAGUGAGGGUCGAUUGUGUUUCUCGCUACGUUCAGAGCUGACUAAUAACUGAUCAAAAAAAAAAAACGGAACUUAGGGAAUCUUCAAUAAAACUAGAAAAUGCAUGUGUACAUAAAUAUAUAUGAACAAGAUUUUGUACAAGUAAUGUAGUAAUUUUGUACCUUCUUAUAAAUUAGUGAUAGCAGGUUCUCGGGGCUAAAAAUUGUAGGAACCCCAUAUUGAAGAUAGAUAUAUCUGAAAUAGUAUGUGUUAGAAUUUAUUUCGUGCAGAUAUAAAUUAUUUGUGUCAGAUUCAGUUUUUCGUUACUGUUGCGUGAAGUGUGUUGCAACAGUUCGUGAAGCAGUUCGUAAAAACAGAAAUAAACGAGACACAAAUUUUAAUGUGGUUCGGAUACAAUUGUACCCUACAUCCACGGGGACCUGCAAAUAAAAUUUACUAAUUUUUAGUUUUACGAAUACAAUAAUAGGACUUAAUCAAAAUACAAAGACUCCCUCUUUGUUGACGCCGUUCUCGUAUACUACGCUGAAUUAUAAAUCUUCAAUUUGCAGCACGUCCCUUGCUCCGCACGGUUGAACUCCCUUCAACGCUGAAUCCCUCAGUCGGCGGAUCGAUCUCCUCCCGAGAUCUGUUUAAGCCCCUCUCCCGAAGAACCGAUCUUCUUUUUAUAUAGAAGAAGCAAACUUGUGAUACUCCUUGAAUCUUGGUGUCUUCACCACAAAGCCUUGAAGCCGAUAUAUUUUCUAUGAAAAUCACGUAUCACGAUGGAACAAUAAAAAACGAGAGGAAAAAUAUUUUCUGUGAAAAACUUCUCUCGAUCAAAGACGUUCCGGGAGCAGAAAAAUAUAAUUUUUCUUCUCCAACAAAAGGCGUAGAGUAUGAGGCGCCGUUCUGCUGUGUUUAUACAUCUACGGGUGAUAAGAAUCCUACAAGGAAAAUAGAGUCCAUUAGGGUUAGGAAACUCUUAAUUACGUAGGAAACAAUAUUUUCAAUACAAGGAAACUCUUUAGAACAAUAAUUCCUAUUAUAAAUCAAUUAAUGACAAAUUAAAAGAAUUAAAAGCUACAAGGACUCUUCCCUUCUUUAGCUCACGGUAUAUGCAAACUUGUGGCACAAGUUUCCUUAAUUCUCGUAUAAUUAGAAUCCAUGGGAUUCUAACAGUAUGUGAUGAUGUUAAUUAUUUAGAUCACCUGGGGUAGUGUAGUAAAUGAACUAGGAGAGCAAAGUUGAUCAGUAGCUUCACAAUUUGAUGAUCCCGGCGGAAAUCCCUCCGACGCUCAAGUUAGAUGUACGGAUCGUGGAGAUGGUAGAGAGAAUAUGCACUCUAGGAUACUUGGGAAUAAAUAGAACGUACCUUAACAAAUGAAUAAAAACAUUUAUUUAUAUGUCGUUGAUUGGGUUGAGUUUACUUUGUUGGGCACAAGCCUUAUUUUGAAGGCGUUUGGGCUCUCGCGUAACGGGUAUAAUUGGGCCCAAUUAUUAUAUAAAUUGGGGGCCCAUUGGGUCGGCCCAAUUAGUUAUAUUAGUAGGAUAUAUAUAUUUAUAUAUAUAUAUAUAUAUAUAUAUAUAUAUAUAUAUAUAUAUAUAUAUAUAUAUAUAUAUAUAUAUAUGGAGAGUGGUCAAAAAAUUGAUCUUUUUUUCCGAGGGAUGAAAGUAGUCGGAGGAAUUACUGUGGGCGUAUUGGCGCUAAUCGCCUAUCGGAAUUCGGAUAUAGCUCUGCAACAGAUGGAGAAGAGAAUUGUAGGCGCUGUGGAGGCGGCGGUGGCGAGGGUUGGAGUUGGCGGCGGCGUGGCGGGAAGGGCGGCAUCCACCACCGGAGUUGAUGGUCAGGUGGUGACUGAGACUGUUGCUGGGGUGGCGUCGUCGACUUCGACGUCGGUUCCUGCAGGAGCAGUUGUGAAGGCGGCGUCUUCUACCACUGGACUCGGUGGCGCGGCCGGAGCCGUGACGACGGCGAGUGGAGGAGUCGUUAACAAAAGGGCGAUACUAUUGUUGGCCGCCGGGGCCGUUGGGUGUACUUUUCUUUACUAUACCUGGAAAAGGGUCAAGCGCCGACGCGAUUCCGGCGACUUCGUGAGUGCCGAUGACGUGGCGAAAUUUCUGGAACUUUGGGCUGACUUGCCUAAUGAGCUCCACGUGGACCGGUCCACUGGAUUUAUCACUGUUUCUCCUGAUAAGACCCAUACCGUAGCGGACCUGCUCGCUCUGCUUAAAGAAAAUAACAUUCUCAUGGUAUGUUUUUUUUUCUUUUUUUUUUUUAUUUAAUUUUUUUUUAAUAAUAUAUUUAGGGUUGAUUUUGUAUAUAGAACAUAGCCAAACGCCGCCUCCGAGACAUUCUUUUUUUUUUUAUUUAAUUUUUUUUUAAUAAUAUAUUUAGGGUUGAUUUUGUAUAUAGAACAUAGCCAAACGCCGCCUCCGAGACAUUCUUGAACGCAACGCGCGGAGGAAUCCGGCGGCCCGCCGCCGUGAACAGGUAUAUAUAUAUAUAUUUUUUUUUUCUUUAGGGUUAAACUAUGGGAUGUUUUUUAUUUUAUUUUAUUAUUUUGUUAAUUACUUUAAAUACAGAUUAUUAUAUUUUUAUUUAUUUGCAGGCUGAGAAGAGGAGCAUAGUGAAGUCAACUUAGAUGCUGAUAGACGUACAUUUACAUUUUGUUUUUUUGAAAUGCAAUAUUCAUCUUCAACUGGCAUUGGCUCAUGAAAAAAAAUGUAACAAAAAUUUAGCCAAAAUAGUUGAAAUAUCGAAACUGAGAACAAAUACAUAAUUGCAUUGUACGACUUAGUUUACCUUUACCAAAAAGCUUCGUAGAACAAAUACAUAAUUGCAAAAAAAAAUUCCCAACGUUUGCGAAGUCAUUUUCUCCAUAUAUAGAUACCCAAUGAAUCAACUAUUCCUUGAGACGAUUUAGUUCGAAGUUCUUUCUGAAGUUGUCCACAAUCCAAACGAGAUUCCUCCAACGUAACAUAUGACGAUUUUAAUUUAAAUGAUAAUACAUUAUUCACUUAAGUUAAAUGUCCGUGAUCGAUACAACUAGAUGUCGUGGGUGUAUCAGAGAUUUGCAAAUGUUCAACAUAAAACUGAAAUAAACACCCAAAUAUUUGUUUCCAUAUAUAAAUAGCUGCAAUAUAAUUUUCUAAAAGUGCAACAAAAACAUAAAUGAUUAAUUUGUUUAAAAGUUUUGUUUAAAGUCAUAUACAAUGUAUGUAUCAAAAAAAUAAUUUAGUUUAUGCUUGCUUGGCACAAGCUGAAUUAAGAAGAUAAAAACCAUAGAGGUAACUGACAUUUUACUAAUAACACAAAAUAAGAAGAUGAAAAAUCGAUGUUUACCGUCAUAAUGAAAGUGGAAAAGAAGAAAUAAUAUUUUUAACAAAACAAUAUAAAUUCACAUUUGAGCUUCAACAUAAAUAUAUUAAUAUAAGAAAUAGUAUAAAUUAUAUAACUAUUUUGAUAAGUGAGGAUUUUUUUAAAAAACGUGGCAUUAAAUUUUUUAUUGUUGCUAUUUAUAAUAUUUUAAAAAUAUGUGUAAAAAAUAAAUAUUAAAAUAACAAAGUUAAUUUAAAAUGUAAAAUAAAUUAAUUAUUUUAUUGUUUAAAGGAAAAAUAACUACGUUCAUUUAAAUUUAAGAGACCAUGUUUUUUUUUAAAUUUAAACAUAAACAUUGGCUUACUAAAGAUGAAAUUGAAUUAAGGUCAUAAAUUAAUCAUUUGGAAUAGUUAUUUCAUUAAUUAAGUGAAAAUACUAACUUUUUAGAUAUUACUUCAAACUUAAUAAGUUUGAGUUAAUUGAAAAAGAAUUUAAUAAUAUACAAAAGUGAAGAUAUUUAUUCCUAAAACAUUUAGAUAAUAUACUAAAACAUAAUAAUGUAUUAAAAACAUAAAAUGAAGAUAUUAAUUCUUCAAACUAAUUCUUAUAAGCUUUAUUUUCAAUGAAUAUAACAAAUUUUAUGUAACAAAAUUUUGUAAUUGAAAUAAAAGCAUAAAUCCAUGUAGGCCCCCCGAUUUGGUAGGAAAUAAUUAGCUCUCAGCAAAAUGAGAAGAAAAGCAAAUUAGUGUUGUGGGCCCUGAUUUUGUUGGACAAAAAAUAGAGGAAAGAAAGAAAAAAAAAAAAAAAGUGAGUCGAACCAAAUAUAAGGUAUUAAAUUAAAUUCUAAAUUAAAUUGAAUUUGCACGUGAAAAUGGAAAAUUAAAGAAAACAAAAUACGGCGUCGUUUAGGGGUGAAACUGAAUUAAAAAAGUGGAAAAUAUAUUGGGAAGCACUGUAGAAAUUUUCCUACACAUUUAUAAGAUAUAUAUAUAUAUAUAUAUAUAUAUAUAUAUAUAUAUAUAUAUAUAUAAAGAUUUGGAAAUUUUGGUUAUGAUCAUGCAGGAAAGCAAACUGUGAUUAUUAAGUACACAUGAGAAAAAAUUCAUGCAUAUAGUAUAUGUAGUACAACUAUUUUUAAAAUUGCAUAAAAAAUGGAUUUUUUUUUUUGUUUUAUAUAUAAUCUUUGUUUUCUAAUCAUUUGGAAAACAAGAAAGAUCGUUUAAAUAAUUUAAAUCAAUAAAAGAAAACGUAAAGAUUUGUUAUUAAAAAUCUUGAAUUCCAUCAACGUUAGUUGUAUUAAUUAAAUUAUAGUAAAUAUGUCAUUUAAAAUUUGUAUUAAAUAUUGGUAUUAAAUAUUUUUUUUCAGUUUGUAAAAGUACCUUAUUUAAGCUAAUAAAUGGAUUCACAAAUAUACAUAUAUACAUAUGCGGUCAACACUCAACACUCCAUAAAGGAGGGUAAAUUAGUCAUUUAGGCACUCUCUCACCGGCCUUGACCAAACAUUGACCAUUGAACACAUGUUCCCCACUUCUCCGGGAAAUGUGUGCAUUUCCCAUUUUCCCAUUUUAGCCCUACGGAGCAUUGACCUCUGAUUUUUCUACUUCUUUUCUUUCCCCAUUCUCUCGCCGCCGCCGUUGUUCUGCUCCAAUGGAGAGAAUUACGCGCUUCCCAAUUUUCUGAUUAAAUUUUCCGGCGAAGAUUAAAGAGUGAAGAAAACCGUCGAAGGAGCUAGCCCUACAAUCUUCACAGAUCGGAAAAGGGCCGAAACCGCAGAGGAAAAAAAAAGGGGGUUUCGGGGAGGUGUGGGACCCCCUUUUCUCCGAUCGUGAAGUUUGUCCGGCGGUUACGCCACACGCGCUGUGUGAAUUUACAAGCACGAGAUUUUGGUAUUCUACACAUGUUUGCCACCUUUUUUUAUUCUUCCUAUGCGUAUGUCUGUUCAUAUAUUGUUUUUUUAAUUGAAUAUAAAAUCGGAUUUUAUGCCUCUUAGGUGUUUGCUUUUUUUACUGUUCGGCGUUUUUUUUUUCCAUAUGAAGGCUUCGCCUCUUUCAAUUUUUUGGUUGGAUUAUGCGAUGAAUGAUUGAUGAUUAAUUCUACAGUUUCUCUUCGAAUCGGUGGUGCAGUGCUGGUGGUUUUUUUGUAAUUAGGGAGGUCGGAAUGAGGUCGAAGAUAAUUCAUUUAGUGUUGGGGUUAAUCCUGGUGGUUCUUCUAUCUGGUGAGUGUUCUAUGGCGACUUCUCCUUUUGUUCUUCGUUUGGUUUGGUUUUUAUUUAUUUGAACGAAUAAUGUAAUAUUUGAAAAUUGAAUUUCUCGAGUCGUGUUUUGGAUUAUACCAUAGCAUUUAUUGGUGUUUGCUCGUGCUCUCUGAUGAUUACUACUUCGAUUGAUUUUACGUCUCUGUAGAACUUUUGUUUAACAACAUUGAUGUUAAAACCGAUAGUUCCGACCUUAUUUGCAUCAAACAUUAUUAGGACCAUGAGUUAUGUUUCUUGUAUGUCGUUCUUCAGCCACGACGAGUUUCUUUUGUUAACUAUAUUUUUAAAUUCCUCUUUUUCAGUUUGUACAAUAAAGGCAUUGGCGUCGGAUGAUGGUUAUAAGCAGUGUGAAAAUACUGUCAAGAAAUGGGCAUCCUCUUCUGUUGAUCACAAAGUUCAAGAAGACAAACAUUCCUUACGCGAUUUGCUCUUUUUCCUUCAUGUACCUCGAACAGGAGGAAGAACAUAUUUCCACUGGUAAUUUUUUUUAUUGGUUUUUCUGUGCUAUGGAAAAUAGAUUCUAAUCAGUGAUAAUACUUCAAAGUUUGCAUCACGGCACAAAUUACUGACUGUUGUUUGUUGUGCUAUUUUUUUUUUUCAAAUUUAUUUUGUAGUUUCUUGAAAAAGUUGUACUCGAACUCCCAAGAAUGCCCACGGUCCUAUGAUAAGUUAAGAUUUGAUCCAAGGUAAUUGUUAUUGUCCUUCCUCUUUUAGUCUGAGAAAUCAUUGAUUUGUUAAAUAGUUUGAGUUAAUCGGUUAUUAUGAAAUCAGCUAAUGAGAAUUUGCUCGAUGCAUAAAGAGAUUUUCCUUUGUUGCCAAAUGUUUGUUGUCAUGGUAUGUUCCGAAAUCUAUUUAUAUAUAUAUAUAUAUAUAUAUAUAUAUAUAUAUGUGUGUGUGUGUGUGUGUCAACUUGAGUAAUCAUAAAGAAUCUUAGAUGCCAAAAAAAAAGUUAGUAACCGACAGGUUAUGGCCUCUUAAUUAUUUGAACAUGUCUAUUUUCAGUCCUCUUGCUAGACAAAAUAAACAUUUGUUGAUAAACAAUCCCGUGUACAAUGUGUGAUAAACAGUCAAAACACAAAAGAGAAGAUUUCAUGAAGUAGUUUGUCUCUAGAUAUUACAAUGCCUUUUUUAUCUUAUGAAAUAGUAGUGUUGUUUUUCUACACACGUUACAGAGAUAUCUAAGAUUUGGAAUAUUUGUUUAUCAUCAUGCAGAAAAGCAAACUGCCGUUUGUUAAGUACCCACGAUGACUACAGCAUGAUGUCGAAACUUCCCAAGGAGAAAACUUCAGUGGUGACAAUACUUAGGAACCCAAUCGACCGUGUUUUUAGCACUUACGAGUUCUCUGUGGAGGUGGCUGCUAGAUUCUUGAUUCAUCCCAACUUAUCAUCUGUUGCAAAAAUGGCUCAACGUGCACGUCGUAAGACUUCCGCAGUGAGCACACUAGAUAUAUGGCCAUGGAAGUAUUUGGUUCCUUGGAUGAGAGAAGAUCUAUUUGCUCGAGUAUGUUCUAGAACAUCACUUCGAGUUAUAUAUUUGCGCAUUGAGUAUCCUAUCUAACAGUCGAUUUUACCCGUCUUGACAGAGGGACGCUAGAAAACUUAGAGGGCAAUCUCAUUUAGUGACAAACGACUCGUACGACAUGGAAGACGUAUUGAUGCCUCUACAUGAGUACAUUAACGACCCGAUUGCUCGAGACAUUGUCCAUAACGGUGCCACCUUCCAGGUAUCGUAGUAAACUUUUUCGUCUUAUAUUGAUAUGGUGUUAAAAAAAAUAGUAAGCUCCUGAGAUUGUUUCGUUGAUGCUGAUAACACUGUUUUGUUCUUCAUUGAGAAAAAAAAUCAUAAGAAAACGAUGGUUUAUGCAAAACCAAGUUUCUGAUGUAUUUACACUUGAAUUCUCAGAUUGUAGGUCUCACAAACAACUCGUAUUUCGGGGAAGCACACGAAGUCCGUCAUUGUGUACUUAAGUACCAUUCUCUCGGUGACCUUGUUCUUGAAGUUGCAAAGGUAUGGGGAAAGGUCUAAAUCGAGCAUGUUAGUUAUCUGUUACGUUCAUUUCCGUUUUUAUACAGUUUCUUCGUUUUUAUGGCUUCAAUCAUGGGCGAAAGUUCUAAAUCUUGCAGAGAAAGUUAGACAAUAUGCUCUACGUUGGACUGACUGAAAACCAUAAAGAAUCGGCCACCAUGUUUGCGAAUAUCGUUGGUUCACAGGUGAUAUCUCAGCACACAAUAUCAAGCUCCGGUUCAGAUGUUGCAGGUAAUAACGAUUCAAAUUAGUUUGUCUGAAUUAAUUCGCUCGAACUAUAUAGAACUAAUAGUCUCUGUGCAAUCUUUGGGAAUUUAUUAUUCGAUUCCAAUUGUUAAGUAUAUCGUUACUCAUCUUAUUGAAUUCUUAUCUACUGCAGAAAAGAGGUCCUUGCUUUCUAGUACAAAUUCUGAUCUGACCGGUCAAGUAAGAAGCUAUAUUUUCAUCUGAAUGCGUGUUACAAUCAAAUGCCGUGAUGUUUAGCUUCGUAUUUUUUUCUGAUUACAGAGCAACAGCACUCAUGAAACCCUAAAAAAUGUUUCAUCAACUGGCGAGGAUGAAGUAAGACGUGAAAAUGUGCGUUUGCAAUUUUUAUUUAUUUUUUUUCCAUUUCUUUUGCAUAAUUGAGAUGUGGAUCUGAGGUCUCUGUGUCGUUUUUGUCAGUUGACUGUCGGGAAACUAAUGGAAGCGUACGAGUCAUGUAUUGCAAACUUAAGAAACUCCCAAGCAGAGAGGCGUGUAAAUUCUCUCAAGCGAAUUUCUCCAGCAAACUUCACAAAAGAGGUUUGUUUGUUUGAUAACUUCAUUGCAGAUUUUCGAUGAUCGUAAUGAAUUAAUGCACUGAUAUUAUUAGCGUAAAUAUUUUUCAGGCCCGUCGGCAGGUUUCGAAGAUUCUUAUCGAGGAGAUAGAAUCACUCAACAGCCUAGAUAUGAAGCUCUAUACAUACGCUCAACAUAUCUUCACAAAGCAACAGACACACGUGUUGCACAACAUGGUUUCUGCUGUAAGUUACCAUCUCUUGUCUGAAUUUUACGGCGUAAUUAUAAAUUCCAUAUUUAUUACAAAGAUUACAGACGGCAUUGACCAAAGUAUAUGCUCAUGGUUUACUUAGUGUUUCUACUACUCGAAUGUUUGAGAACGGUUGUCUGAUUAUAGUUCUCGUUUUUUGCAUGAUUUAAAUAGCAGGAAAUUCAGACAAACACACAAUCGACAAGCGCGUAUCCGAUUUUCAACAACCCCCCUUCUUGGAAACUGUCUAUAUCCGUCACCGCUCUCUUGUUAGUUCUCUUCAUUUUUCUGUUUGUAAAUUCAAGAAGAAGAACAUCAAAAGUUAAGUUGUAAAUCUCAGUUGCAUUAUAGUAGAAGAAAAGAAAAGGUGCAGUAUUGACAAAAUAACUAAGUUUUUAGUCACUCCAGUAGUCCUGUUUUACUAUUCUACCCUUGUUUUACAGGGAUAUUAACAAGCCUGUCUCGCUAUUCCCAACGCCCCAUCCCCUCAUUUUUUUUUUCUCUUUUAGAAUAUGAGGAUGAAUAUUGUUUUUCAUUUAGAAGCCACUGGAUUAUGGGGCAAAUUACCGACACCCCUGAGUUAAGGUCAAAUCACGAAAAAAUUCAUGUUGUUUGAGUAAUUACAAUCACCCCUCAAUUAUGUAUUUGUCUUACGAAAAAAACUCAUUAUUUAGUAGGUAAAUUUGACACCAAAAUGAUGGAUGUGUAAGACACUAGAUAGUUAAGGAUAUGCUUGUAAUUACCCAAACAUGAGGGGUUUUUUCAAAAUUCAACCUUACAUGAGGGGUGUCUGUAAUUUACUCCUAAAUUAUAUUUGACCAUCAUAACCAAUGUUGAAAAUCAAAUCAAGUUACUGAUACUUUAUUCGAACUCGGUUUGUUAACAUAACGAAUCAAGUUUGAGUCGCUUCGUUAGUCCUGUUUUACUAUUCUACCCUUGUUUUACAAAUUUGUAGCCCAGAGGUAUUAACAAGUCUUUUAGAAUAUGAGGAUGAAUAUUGUUUUUCAUUUAGAAGCUACUGGAUUAUAGGCCAAAUUACGGACACUCCCCUAAGGUAAGAUUAAAUUACGAAAAAUCCCUCUUGUUUGGGUAAUUACAACCACCCAUCAAUUAUGUAUUGUCUUACGAAAAAAACCCAUCAUUUAGUAGGUAAAUUUGACACCAAAAAGAUGGACGUAUAUAAGGCAAUACAUAGUUAAGGGAAUGGUUGGUAAUUAUCCAAAUAUGAGGGUGUUUUUCAUAACUUAACAUUACCUGAGGGGGUGUUCGUAAUUUGCUCCUGGAUUAUAGUUGACCAUCAUAACUAAGGUUGAAAAUCAAAUCAAGUUACUGGAUACUUUAUUCGAACUCGGUUUGUUAAAAUAACGAAUCAAGUUUGAACACGUAUUUUCGUUUGAUCAAUUAAGCCCGGUUCGAUAAAAAAUCGAACAAGUUCUUAUUCGCUUACAUCCAUAAUUAAAAAUUAAAUAAAUAAUAUUAAAAAAAGUGAGAGUGAAGUAAAGCAAUAAAUUCUAUAUAAUACAGUCACAUGUGAGAUGUUGGGAUUUUCAACUCCUUUGGGCCUCCCAAUAAAUGAAAAAUAUUUAUAUUCUUCAUCUGCAUUUAAUAUUGGGGCCUAACAUAGUGUAUAGUGAACAUGGUACCAUACCACAUUUCAACAUUUCUUCAUUUUAAUUAGUUGACUUAAUUUAUUUUAUUACCAAAAAUUUUGUUAAUUAAUGCGUUAAAUCACAUUUGAUUAACGUUGAUAUUUUUAUUAAUUAAAACGAUUCUUUUCAUUUAAUAACACAUAUUCAACGAUUUAUUUAAUAGUGCAGCAUAAAAAACCCCAAAUAAUGUAGAGUAGAAAUGAAGUAAAUUUGGUACGAGUUAGUUGUGAUUUUGGCCCCUUUGCUUUCUAAUCAUUAAAUUCAAACCUAAAAAAAAUGUUCAACCACAUGCAUGUUCUUUUUACUCAUAAUAUGAGUACUCUAAAAUAAAAUAAAAUAAUUAUUAUUUUAUAUAAAAUAAAUAUAUGUACAUCCAAGAAGCUUAAUUUUAUAAAGGAAUUAUAUGAAAAUAUAAUUUUGUACAUAAAAAUAUAUAUACUUUGUGUUUUUAUGAAAAAUAUGUAAUAUUGUAGAAGGCCAUGACUUUUGACUUUUUAUUUUGCGUAGGCUCUUCGAACUCUAGAACCCAUUGACGGAACGAGUAUAGGGUCAACGGAGGCCACGAUCCCUCCGAACAUUUCUCAAAUCUCUAUUAACUUAUAUAAAAAUAUAAUUUUACGGCCAUCCUCCUUAAAGUUAAAUUAUGAAAAGAUGUAUCUUAUUUGCGUAGUUACAACUAUCUCCGACUAUGUAUUUUCUUAUGAAAAAACACUCGUCCAGUAAGUAAAUUUGAUCCGUAAAAAUAGAUGUGUAGGACAAUAUAAUUAAUGGAGCGACUGUAAUUACUCAAACAUGUAGACUGUGGCCGUAAUUUACCUAAAAUUCUAAUACACUUGGCCACCGAUGCUCAAAAUCCUGACUCUGCUAGAACCGACAGUCAAAUUUACUCAAUAAACGUAAUAAUAUAUAAUUAUGGAUUCCUUUCUUUAUUUAAAAAUAAAAAUGAAAAUAAAUGUGGGACAGGGCUUCUGAAUACAUUUAACUGUACUUAUUUGUAAUUUUGUACACUGUCUUUUCCAACAGUAAAAAUCCUGACAAAGCCCACAUUAUUAUUAGAUUUCACAUUACACUCAAUAAAGUGAAAAAAAGGAAAUUAGAAAUUUCCCCAAUUUCGCUGCCCUAUCUUUUCUCUCUCCAAAAAACCCCCCUUCUCUCUCCUCUCUCUCUCUCUCUUCUCCACAAUCCCAAAUGGCGUAAUAAAGGUUCUUCUUCUGGUAAGCACAAUCACCAUUUUCCAUUCUCAUGCAAAAUUUCUUUUCAAUUUAACCUAACUGGUACUGCGAUUUCUCUACGAAGCUUAAUUUUUUUUUUUUUGGGAAAAAAACUGAUUUAUUCUUCUUCCUGCUUUCUGUUAGUCUCUGUUUGGUAAUCCGUGAAUUUAGGGUUUUCGAAGCUGACCUUUUUUUUUUUCUGGUGUUCUUCCUUUUUUAUGUUUCAGCUGCCAAACAGAGCCUUGUUUUCGAUUUACCCAAGCACACGUAUUUUUAAUUUUUAAUUUUUUAAAGUAUUUGCCUUUAUUUCUAUUUUUAUUCCAUUUAAUCAGAAUCUGCCAUUUUCAACACCAGAUUUGGUGAGCUGGAGACAGUGAUUUUAUACCUUUUUCUUUUCAUUUUUCCAACUUUUUUUUUAUUAUUAUUUUUAAUUUACUAUUUAAUUUAAUUUAUUUAUUUACCUUACGGUAAAUUUAUGAUUCUAUGGAAUCCUAUUUUGGUAUAUUCUUUUAUCCGUACCAGGAUUCUUAAGCAAAUUGUUAAUUAGUGUCCAAAUACAUAGAUAUCACCGCCCCCUAAUUUGAUAAUUAUUGAUCCCCAUCUGUUAGGUUAAAAAAAAAUUAAAAAAAAUCCAAUUGAUAUUUUUCCUAAUUAUUUUUUCCAUUUAAUGUUUAUGCAUUUUCCUUAACCAAUACUGCAAAAUCUCAUCGAAUGGUGUCUGUAUAUAUAUAUCUAUUUAUUUAUUUACGUGUGAGUGAGAUAGUUCUUAUUGAAUUAUUAACCAGAACAAAUGUAUUAAUCUUGUUAUUUUAUGUAUUUAUUAUUUAUUUUUUUAAUUCUUUUGUUGUCGGUUUU